rnacentral:rRNA from 1 species
UACGAAGGGGGCUAGCGUUGCUCGGAAUCACUGGGCGUAAAGCGCACGUAGGCGGGUCUUUAAGUCAGGGGUGAAAUCCUGGAGCUCAACUCCAGAACUGCCUUUGAUACUGAAGAUCUCGAGUCCGGAAGAGGUGAGUGGAACUCCGAGUGUAGCGGUGAAAUGCGCAGAUAUCAGGAAGAACACCCGUGGCGAAGGCGGUUCUCUGGGACGGUACUGACGCUGAGACGCGAAAGCGUGGGGAGCAAACAGG